rnacentral:rRNA from 1 species
CAUUUAAAGAGUGCGUAAUAGCUCACUAGUCGAGUGACACUGCGCCGAAAAUGUACCGGGGCUAAACAUAUUACCGAAGCUGUGGAUUGUCCUUUGGACAAUGGUAGGAGAGCGUUCUAAGGGCGUUGAAGCAUGAUCGUAAGGACAUGUGGAGCGCUUAGAAGUGAGAAUGCCGGUGUGAGUAGCGAAAGACGGGUGAGAAUCCCGUCCACCGAUUGACUAAGGUUUCCAGAGGAAGGCUCGUCCGCUCUGGGUUAGUCGGGUCCUAAGCUGAGGCCGACAGGCGUAGGCGAUGGAUAACAGGUUGAUAUUCCUGUACCACCUAGCAUCGUUUUAAUCGAUGGGGGGACGCAGUAGGAUAGGCGAAGCGUACGAUUGGAUUGUACGUCCAAGCAGUGAGAUUGAGUGUUAGGCAAAUCCGGCACUCUUAAGAUUGAGCUGUGAUGGGGAGAGGAAAUUGUUUCCUCGAGUCGUUGAUUUCACACUGCCGAGAAAAGCCUCUAGAUAGAUAAUAGGUGCCCGUACCGCAAACCGACACAGGUAGUCAAGAUGAGAAUUCUAAGGUGAGCGAGCGAACUCUCGUUAAGGAACUCGGCAAAAUGACCCCGUAACUUCGGGAGAAGGGGUGCUCUUUAGGGUUAACGCCCAGAAGAGCCGCAGUGAAUAGGCCCAAGCGACUGUUUAUCAAAAACACAGGUCUCUGCUAAACCGUAAGGUGAUGUAUAGGGGCUGACGCCUGCCCGGUGCUGGAAGGUUAAGAGGAGUGGUUAGCUUCUGCGAAGCUACGAAUCGAAGCCCCAGUAAACGGCGGCCGUAACUAUAACGGUCCUAAGGUAGCGAAAUUCCUUGUCGGGUAAGUUCCGACCCGCACGAAAGGCGUAACGAUUUGGGCACUGUCUCAACGAGAGAC